GAUCAUGGCUCAGGAUGAACGCUAGCUACAGGCUUAACACAUGCAAGUCGAGGGGCAUCGGGAUUGAAGCUUGCUUCAAUUGCCGGCGACCGGCGCACGGGUGCGUAACGCGUAUGUAACCUACCUAUAACAGGGGCAUAACACUGAGAAAUUGGUACUAAUUCCCCAUAAUAUUCGGAGAGGCAUCUCUCCGGGUUGAAAACUCCGGUGGUUAUAGAUGGACAUGCGUUGUAUUAG
rnacentral:rRNA from 1 species